rnacentral:rRNA from 1 species
AAAAAAGGUAAGCUACUAAGAGCGAAUGGUGGAUGCCUUGACUGGUAAAGGCGAUGAAGGACGUACUAGACUGCGAUAAGCUACGGGGAGCUGUCAAGAAGCUUUGAUCCGUAGAUUUCCGAAUGGGGCAACCCAAUGUAUAGAGAUAUACAUUACCUAUAUAGGAGCGAACGAGGGGAAUUGAAACAUCUUAGUACCCUCAGGAAAAGAAAUCAAUAGAGAUUGCGUCAGUAGCGGCGAGCGAAAGCGUAAGAGGGCAAACCCAGUGCUUGCACUGGGGGUUGUAGGACUGCAAUGUGCAAGAGGUGAGUUUAGCAGAACAUUCUGGAAAGUAUAGCCAUAGAGGGUGAUAGUCCCGUAUGCGAAAAACAAACCUUAGCUAGCAGUAUCCUGAGUAGGGCGGGACACGAGAAAUCCUGUCUGAAGCUGGGUCGACCACGAUCCAACCCUAAAUACUAAUACCAGAUCGAUAGUGCACAAGUACCGUGAGGGAAAGGUGAAAAGAACUGAGGUGAUCAGAGUGAAAUAGAACCUGAAACCAUUUGCUUACAAUCAUUCAGAGCACUAUGUAGCAAUACAGUGUGAUGGACUGCCUUUUGCAUAAUGAGCCUGCGAGUUGUGGUGUCUGGCAAGGUUAAGCAAACGCGAAGCCGUAGCGAAAGCGAGUCUGAAUAGGGCGCUUAGUCAGAUGCUGCAGACCCGAAACGAAGUGAUCUAUCCAUGAGCAAGUUGAAGCUAGUGUAAGAACUAGUGGAGGACUGAACCCAUAGGCGUUGAAAAGCCCCGGGAUGACUUGUGGAUAGGGGUGAAAGGCCAAUCAAACUUCGUGAUAGCUGGUUCUCUCCGAAAUAUAUUUAGGUAUAGCGUUGUGUCGUAAUAUAAGGGGGUAGAGCACUGAAUGGGCUAGGGCAUACACCAAUGUACCAAACCCUAUCAAACUCCGAAUACCUUAUAUGUAAUCACAGCAGUCAGGCGGCGAGUGAUAAAAUCCGUCGUCAAGAGGGAAACAACCCAGACUACCAGCUAAGGUCCCUAAAUCUUACUUAAGUGGAAAACGAUGUGAAGUUACUUAAACAACCAGGAGGUUGGCUUAGAAGCAGCCAUCCUUUAAAGAAAGCGUAAUAGCUCACUGGUCUAGUGAUUUUGCGCGGAAAAUAUAACGGGGCUAAAGUAAGUACCGAAGCUGUAGACUUGAUUUUAUCAAGUGGUAGGAGAGCGUUCUAUUUGCGCCGAAGGUAUACCGGUAAGGAGUGCUGGAGCGAAUAGAAGUGAGCAUGCAGGCAUGAGUAGCGAUAAUUAAUGUGAGAAUCAUUAACGCCGUAAACCCAAGGUUUCCUACGCGAUGCUCGUCAUCGUAGGGUUAGUCGGGUCCUAAGUCGAGUCCGAAAGGGGUAGACGAUGGCAAAUUGGUUAAUAUUCCAAUACCAACAUUAGUGUGCGAUGGAAGGACGCUUAGGGCUAAGGGGGCUAGCGGAUGGAAGUGCUAGUCUAAGGUCGUAGGAGGUUAUACAGGCAAAUCCGUAUAACAUACUCCGAGAACUGAAAGGCUUUUUGAAGUCUUCGGAUGGAUAGAAGAACCCCUGAUGCCAUCGAGCCAAGAAAAGUUUCUAAGUUUAGCUAAUGUUGCCCGUACCGUAAACCGACACAGGUGGGUGGGAUGAGUAUUCUAAGGCGCGUGGAAGAACUCUCUUUAAGGAACUCUGCAAAAUAGCACCGUAUCUUCGGUAUAAGGUGUGGUUCGCUUCGUAUUAGGAUUUACUCCGAAAGCGAAGAAACUUACAACAAAGAGUCCCUCCCGACUGUUUACCAAAAACACAGCACUCUGCUAACUCGUAAGAGGAUGUAUAGGGUGUGACGCCUGCCCGGUGCUCGAAGGUUAAUUGAUGGGGUUAGCAUUAGCGAAGCUCUUGAUCGAAGCCCGAGUAAACGGCGGCCGUAACUAUAACGGUCCUAAGGUAGCGAAAUUCCUUGUCGGUUAAAUACCGACCUGCAUGAAUGGCGUAACGAGAUGGGAGCUGUCUCAAAGAGGGAUCCAGUGAAAUUGUAGUGGAGGUGAAAAUUCCUCCUACCCGCGGCAAGACGGAAAGACCCCGUGGACCUUUACUACAGCUUGACACUGCUAUUUGGAUAAGAAUGUGCAGGAUAGGUGGGAGGCUUUGAGUAUAUGACGCCAGUUGUAUAUGAGCCAUUGUUGAGAUACCACUCUUUCUUAUUUGGGUAGCUAACCAGCUUGAGUUAUCCUCAAGUGGGACAAUGUCUGGUGGGUAGUUUGACUGGGGCGGUCGCCUCCCAAAUAAUAACGGAGGCUUACAAAGGUUGGCUCAGAACGGUUGGAAAUCGUUCGUAGAGUAUAAAGGUAUAAGCCAGCUUAACUGCAAGACAUACAAGUCAAGCAGAGACGAAAGUCGGUCUUAGUGAUCCGGUGGUUCUGUGUGGAAGGGCCAUCGCUCAAAGGAUAAAAGGUACCCCGGGGAUAACAGGCUGAUCUCCCCCAAGAGCUCACAUCGACGGGGAGGUUUGGCACCUCGAUGUCGGCUCAUCGCAUCCUGGGGCUGGAGCAGGUCCCAAGGGUAUGGCUGUUCGCCAUUUAAAGCGGUACGCGAGCUGGGUUCAGAACGUCGUGAGACAGUUCGGUCCCUAUCUGCCGUGGGCGUAAGAAGAUUGAAGAGAUUUGACCCUAGUACGAGAGGACCGGGUUGAACAAACCACUGGUGUAGCUGUUGUUCUGCCAAGAGCAUCGCAGCGUAGCUAAGUUUGGAAAGGAUAAACGCUGAAAGCAUCUAAGCGUGAAGCCAACUCUAAGAUGAAUCUUCUCUAAGCUCUCUAGAAGACUACUAGUUUGAUAGGCUGGGUGUGUAAUGGAUGAAAGUCCUUUAGCUGACCAGUACUAAUAGAGCGUUUGGCUUAUCUUUAAUAAAGCAU